rnacentral:lncRNA from 1 species
GAGGCCCUCUUGGACAACACUUCCUCUCCUGCCCAUGGUGGGAGGUUGGGAAGGACAUUCCCCCAUUUCCAUUUGCUCUGCCAUUCAAAACCUUGUGAGGGCCCUCAGGGAAGAAUCCCUUUGCAGAUGAGGAAACUGAGGCCCCACGUGGUGAAGACAAUUUUUACCCGAAUCCACCCACAACAAGAGACCAUUUGGAUAAUGUACAUUAUGGGAAGAGAACAGAGUCUCAGUGAAGAUCAUGUUUCCCCAGCAACACAGGUGCCAGGAGUAGCUGGCUCUGGUCCCAGCCCAGACUCAGAAAUCCUGAGCCACCAGACCAUUUCUAGAUUAACAAAGGCCUGCAUUAAUUUGAUUUCAGUGACCCACUGGAAACCAGUGUCAGCAUAACAACAGUUACGAGAGCUAAACCUACAAAAUAGAAACACAAGUAAAACUUGUUCAAGUGGUUUGCAGUCAUUGAACAUAGAUCAGCUCCUAUGAAAACAAACUCCAUGGGUUUUCUUUGAUGGCAGUUCUGCUCUAAAGAUGGAUAAGGAAGGAGGUUCCAAGAUGGCCGAAUAGGAACAGCUCCAGUCUACAGCUCCCAGCAUGAGCAACGCAGAAGACAGGGGAUUUCUGCAUUUCCAAUUGAGAACACAGGAGCUAUGUGGAGAGUUGAUGGAGGGACAUUCCAGGCAGAGAGAACAGCAAACACAAAGGCCUUGAAGGGCUCAACACCACAUGGAAGCUGCCAAGGCUUGGGGCUCGCACCAUCUGAAGACAUGGUCUGAACUCUACGUUGGCCCUUUCAGCCAUGGCUGGAGCAGCUGGAACGCAGGGCAUCAAGUCUCUUGGCUGCACACAGCUCAGGGAAGCUGGACCUGGCCCAUGAAACCACUUUUUCUUCCUAUGCCUCCAGACCUGUGAUGGGAGGAGCUGCCAUGAAGACCUCUGACAUGCCCUAGAAACAUUUUCCCCAUUGUCUUAGGGAUUAACAUUCUGUGCCUUGUUGCUUAAGUAAAUUUCUGCCUCAUUGUCAGGCUGCAAAUUUUCUA